UACGGAGGGUGCGAGCGUUGUCCGGAAUCAUUGGGCGUAAAGGGCGCGUAGGUGGCCCGGUCAGUCUUUGGUGAAAGCGCGGGGCUCAACCCUGCGUCGGCCAGGGAUACUGCCGCGGCUCGAGCACUGUAGAGGCAGGCGGAAUUCCGGGUGUAGCGGUGGAAUGCGUAGAGAUCCGGAAGAACACCGGUGGCGAAGGCGGCCUGCUGGGACAGUGCUGACGCUGAAGCGCGACAGCGUGGGGAGCAA
rnacentral:rRNA from 1 species